CCUACGGGGGGCAGCAGUGAGGAAUAUUGGUCAAUGGGCGCUAGCCUGAACCAGCCAAGUAGCGUGAAGGAUGACUGCCCUAUGGGUUGUAAACUUCUUUUAUAUGGGAAUAAAGUGCAGUAUGUAUACUGCUUUGCAUGUACCUUAUGAAUAAGGAUCGGCUAACUCCGUGCCAGCAGCCGCGGUAAUACGGAGGAUCCGAGCGUUAUCCGGAUUUAUUGGGUUUAAAGGGAGCGUAGGCGGGUUGUUAAGUCAGUUGUGAAAGUUUGCGGCUCAACCGUAAAAUUGCAGUUGAUACUGGCAGCCUUGAGUACAGUAGAGGUAGGCGGAAUUCGUGGUGUAGCGGUGAAAUGCUUAGAUAUCACGAAGAACUCCGAUUGCGAAGGCAGCCUGCUGGACUGUAACUGACGCUGAUGCUCGAAAGUGUGGGUAUCAAACAGGAUUAGAUACCCUAGUAGUG
rnacentral:rRNA from 1 species